ACUCCUACGGGAGGCAGCAGUGGGAAUAUUGGACAAUGGGGGCAACCCUGAUCCAGCCAUGCCGCGUGAGUGAUGAAGGCCCUAGGGUUGUAAAGCUCUUUUGUGCGGGAAGAUAAUGACGGUACCGCAAGAAUAAGCCCCGGCUAACUUCGUGCCAGCAGCCGCGGUAAUACGAAGGGGCUAGCGUUGCUCGGAAUCACUGGGCGUAAAGGGUGCGUAGGCGGCCUUGUAAGUUGGGGUGAAAGCCCGUGGCUCAACCACGGAAUUGCCUUCGAUACUGCUUGGCUUGAGUGUGGUAGAGGUUGGUGGAACUGCGAGUGUAGAGGUGAAAUUCGUAGAUAUUCGCAAGAACACCGGUGGCGAAGGCGGCCAACUGGACCAUCACUGACGCUGAGGCGCGAAAGCGUGGGGAGCAAACAGGAUUAGAUACCCUGGUAGGCUCUGC
rnacentral:rRNA from 1 species